CCCUUAGAUGUUCGGGGCCGCACGCGCGCUACACUGAUGGGGACAGCGUGUUUGCCAUUCCUGGUCCGGCAGGAUUGGGCAAUCCGUUGAACCCCCGUCGUGAUUGGGAUCGGAGCUUGUAACUAUUCUCCGUAAACGAGGAAUUCCCAGUAAGCGCAAGUCAUCAGCUUGCGUUGAUUACGUCCCUGCCCUUUGUACACACCGCCCGUCGCUCCUACCGAUUGAAUGAUCCGAUGAAUAUCAUGGAUUGAGGAUGCAAGCAGGUUCGCCUGUCUUCAUCUUCGAGAAGUGAAGUAAAUCUUAUCAUUUAGAGGAAGGAGAAGUCGUAACA
rnacentral:rRNA from 1 species